CAGGGCACGAAGCUUAUCUCCUUGCGUAACUGAGUGCAUUUCUUCUUCAUCAUCACUGUACUGUAAAUAAAUGGGUCAACUGAACCAAUGGAUUCAAGUUACAAGAAAGGAGAUUCUGACGAAACAUCAGGAAGAACUUCUUGACACCCAAGGUACCGUGCAGACAACACUAGCUGGCUGUAACCCUGGUUAAAGGAUUAAGAGUGGUUCAUCAGACUUCACAAUCCCUGCCCCAGCCCUUCCCUGCUUCGUUCAAGUCCCCAAAUAACCCAAUUUUUGAUACAGUAUACCACAAGAAACUCUUAUUGAAAGAUCCAAGAGAGCAAAUGGCCUGAUAGGAAAAGAGAAACGGAAGAAACUACAUCACCUACAAACUCUGAAAACAUAAAUGAAAAUGCCAUUAAUGAUUCAUGAUCUUCAUGGAAUGAAGGAACAGCACAUUCAGAUUCGUUUUCUGAAAACAUUCUAGCUACAACAGGCAUGAUAAACAGUUUUCUUAAUUUGAGAUUUUACCUCAUUUGGCUUAAGGUUAUAUGUGGUAAUUUGAAUUGUAAACCCAAUUUUCACUGGAGCAUUCAAGGACCACUGAUUUCAGGGCAUGUCUAAUAUUUUCUUAAUAACACUCUCACUAUCCUUCAGUUCUAUGGUUCUAUGUUUAUUUCCAAAAUAAAACUUGUGGGAAUAGCACUAUUUGCAGUGCUGUAGUCACUUGCAUAAUUAUGUAUUAUUCUUAGAUGUAUCUGAAAUCAACAGCCCCAGAGUAACAUCUAAAAAUGCAUUUAAUACAUUCAUGCAGGGGUAUGUCAAAUAUGUCAUUUCUUUUUUUGAAGGGGAGAUGUCAAGGUAUCAGAAGGUUAAUACAACCACCUACAUUGAAAAACAACAACAAAUAUUUUAUUG